rnacentral:sRNA from 1 species
ACCAUAAAGGAGAACAGCAAGAGGCCCCCAGCAAACAUCCACAGAUGGCCCUGGACAUCAGCCACAUUCUGAGAAACAUGUCAUGUUCUGGGAGGGCUAAGGCAUCAACCUUACCCUGUAGAAAUUCUAGUGACUAUGUUGCCACCAUCUUGGAGCUCCAUGCCCUCAUAGUGUAAUGGCACCAGCAGAUCUGCCUGUGCAUGGACUUCCUGUACUACC